rnacentral:rRNA from 1 species
GUCAACGGCCAUACCACGCAGAAAAAACCUGGUCUCGUCAGCUCCCAGAAGUUAAGCUGCGUCGGAUACAGACGUCUUUUUGUGUUCUCCCGUUUUUC